rnacentral:misc_RNA from 1 species
AAGAAACUAGAAGGAAUUGACGGUUUGAUAUCAUGAAGUCUUUAUAUGUUUGGUGAUUACAUAUUAUCAAGGAAUUGAAAGUUAUUCUUUGUACCGAGACUUAAGCUAAAGAUUCGUCCUUUUCAUUGAAAAUGUAAUUUUUAAUAAUGAAUUUUGUUUGCAUGUUAGUUUUUUAAGUUAAUUUCUUACUUUGGAUUCCAAAUUUGGGAAAUGUAAAGGACCACUUGAAUGAAAUUAUUUUCUAAUUAUCAACUUGUAACAUUUUAUUCACAUGAUUGAAUGUGGUCUUGCUUUAUUGUCCAUGGAAACACUAAUUUGUGGUUUGAUAUGUGAAGGACUUCCUUAGGUAACUGUUAAUAGUAAACGAAGUCCUUUGUAUUGGUUGAACUAAUGACCAGAUAUAAUCUGAAAGCUGUGUGUGAUACUGUUGUAUGAUUGCACUUCCCUUAAUUAAGAAUCUUCAAUCUUUUGUCAUCUUCUGGCACAGGACAUGUUCAUAUAUUUUGUUUGUUGUAUGUCUGAUUACCCUUUAUUUUCUGUGUUUUCCCAUAAUACAUUUAUUUUAAUAUUUAAUAAAAUGUU